rnacentral:rRNA from 1 species
UACGUAGGAUCCAAGCGUUGUCCGGAUUUACUGGGUGUAAAGGGUGCGCAGGCGGACUUGUUAGUCAGAGGUGAAAUCUCACUGCUCAACAGUGAAACUGCCUUUGAUACUGCAGGUCUUGAAUCCAGAAGAGAGUUGUGGAAUUCCGAGUGUAGCAGUGAAAUGUGUAGAUAUUCGGAAGAACACCAGCGGCGAAGGCAGCAACUUGGUCUGGUAUUGACGCUCAGGCACGAAAGUCAUGGGGAUCAAACAGGG